AUCAUUACAGAGUUGCAAAACUCCCUAAACCAUUGUGAACGUUACCUAUACCGUUGCUUCGGCGGGCGGCCCCGGGGUUUACCCCCCGGGCGCCCCUGGGCCCCACCGCGGGCGCCCGCCGGAGGUCACCAAACUCUUGAUAAUUUAUGGCCUCUCUGAGUCUUCUGUACUGAAUAAGUCAAAACUUUCAACAACGGAUCUCUUGGUUCUGGCAUCGAUGAAGAACGCAGCGAAAUGCGAUAAGUAAUGUGAAUUGCAGAAUUCAGUGAAUCAUCGAAUCUUUGAACGCACAUUGCGCCCGCCAGCAUUCUGGCGGGCAUGCCUGUUCGAGCGUCAUUUCAACCAUCAAGCCCCCGGGCUUGUGUUGGGGACCUGCGGCUGCCGCAGGCCCUGAAAAGCAGUGGCGGGCUCGCUGUCGCACCGAGCGUAGUAGCAUACAUCUCGCUCUGGUCGCGCCGCGGGUUCCGGCCGUUAAACCACCUUUUAACCCAAGGUUGACCUCGGAUCAGGUAGGAAGACCCGCUGAACUUAAGCAUAUCAAA
rnacentral:rRNA from 1 species